rnacentral:rRNA from 1 species
AGAGUUUGAUCCCUGGCUCAGAGCGAACGCUGGCGGCAGGCCUAACACAUGCAAGUCGAGCGGGCACCGCAAGGUGUCAGCGGCAGACGGGAGAGUAACACGUGGGAACGUGCCCUUCGGUUCGGAAUAACUCGGGGAAACCCGAGCUAAUACCGAAUACGCCCUUACGGGGAAAGAUUUAUCGCCGAUGGAGCGGCCCGCGUCUGAUUAGCUAGUUGGUGAGGUAACGGGCUCACCAAGGCGACGAUCAGUAGCUGGUCUGAGAGGAUGAUCAGCCUCACUGGGACUGAGACACGGCCCAGACUCCUACGGGAGGCAGCAGUGGGGAAUAUUGGACAAUGGGCGCAAGCCUGAUCCAGCCAUGCCGCGUGGAUGAUGAAGGCCUUAGGGUUGUAAAGUCCUUUUAACGGGGAAGAUAAUGACGGUACCCGUAGAAUAAGCCCCGGCUAACUUCGUG